AGUGAACGCUGGCGGUAGGCCUAACACAUGCAAGUCGAACGGCAGCACAGAGGAGCUUGCUCCUUGGGUGGCGAGUGGCGGACGGGUGAGGAAUACAUCGGAAUCUACUCUGUCGUGGGGGAUAACGUAGGGAAACUUACGCUAAUACCGCAUACGACCUACGGGUGAAAGCAGGGGACCUUCGGGCCUUGCGCGAUUGAAUGAGCCGAUGUCGGAUUAGCUAGUUGGCGGGGUAAAGGCCCACCAAGGCGACGAUCCGUAGCUGGUCUGAGAGGAUGCUCAGCCACAAUGGAACUGAGACACGGUCCAGGCUCCUACGGGAGGCAGCAGUGGGGAAUAUUGGACAAUGGGCGCAAGCCUGAUCCAGCCAUACCGCGUGGGUGAAGAAGGCCUUCGGGUUGUAAAGCCCUUUCGUUGGGAAAGAAAUCCAGCUGGCUAAUACCCGGUUGGGAUGACGGUACCCAAAGAAUAAGCACCGGCUAACUUCGUGCCAGCAGCCGCGGUAA
rnacentral:rRNA from 1 species